rnacentral:rRNA from 1 species
UACAGAGGGGGCGAGCGUUGUUCGGAAUUACUGGGCGUAAAGGGCGCGUAGGCGGCCUUCUAAGUCGAACGUGAAAUCCCCGGGCUCAACCCGGGAACUGCGUCCGAUACUGGGAGGCUUGAAUCCGGGAGAGGGAUGUGGAGUUCCAGGUGUAGCGGUGAAAUGCGUAGAUAUCUGGAGGAACACCGGUGGCGAAGGCGGCAUCCUGGACCGGUAUUGACGCUGAGGCGCGAAAGCCAGGGGAGCAAACGGG